rnacentral:lncRNA from 1 species
AUGCCCGGACCACUCACGGAGACACAGGCACACGGGCACACACACAUCCUGUUCGCAGGGACAUACACAGGCACGCGUGGCGGCCGCGCACACGCUCAUUCACACACAUGUCUACAGACACACACAGCGACACACUCCACGCUCACACCGCACACACCCGCGGACACGCUCGCGCCGCGCACACGGCCGCCCGCAGACCCACGCGGGGACACUCGCACACUCACCGCGGGCACCGUGACACGCACGCACACUCGCGCACCUGCAGGGGAAACUUCUCUCCGGGUCUCCCCGACACCACCGCUGCCCCCGCGGCCGGCGGGCUGCCCCCCCCGCGGCCCGGGCCCCCCGAGCCCCCCGCGCCGGCCCGCAGCCCCCUCGGCCCCGCGCGGCCCUCCCGCCGCCCCCCUGCUCGGGGUCAGGCCGCGGCCGCCUGCAGGGGCGGGGGCGGGGGGGGCGGCCCAGGGCUCCCUCCUUCCCUCCACCCCUCCCCUCCACCCCAACCCCGUCCCUCCCCCCUCUCCCCUCCCCCCGCCCCCUCCCCCCUCCCCGGGCCCGGAGCCGAGGCCGCGGGCGCCCGGGGCGUGGGCGGCGCCGGGGCCGCAGCCAGGCCGAGGCUGGGGGGCGCUGCCGAGGGCGCGGCCCCGGCCCCCCGCGCUUACCUGGCCCGGCUGGGGCUCCGGCCGGGGGCCAUGGUGCGGGCGGCGGGGGGGCGGCACUGCGGAGCCCCCGGCGGAGGGGCCGCGCCGGCUGCGGAGCCCCGAGCGAGCGCCGGGCGGCUGCGGGCGCGGGAGCGGGAGGCGGCCAAGCCACGGAGGCUGGAUUUCCCGGGGACCGGGACGGGGAGGCGGGGGGAUCCCGCCCGCGCGCUCCGCCCCCGCCCCCGCCCCCGCCCCCGCGCGCCUGCCCGGCCCGAGGCGGCCGCGCUCCUGCCCCCGCAGCGGCCCGGGCUCCCCGCCAGCCCCUCCCCCCGGGACCACCCGCGCCGCGGGCCCGGGCAGCCACCGCGUCGCCACCACGCGCAGCCGGGGACACGGUCGGGCAGCCCCGGGCACAGGGCUCGCGCCCCCCGAGGCAGGUCACAGCCUGGGUGUCACCCGGGAGCCCCCCCGCAUCCCCUCGGGAGGCUCCUCGGGCCCCCCCGUAUCCCCCCCCGCAUCCCCUCGGGCGGCUCCUCUGGCCCCCCCGUAUCCCCCCCCAAUCCCCUCGGGAGGCUCUUCGGGUCCCCCCAUCCCCUCGGGAGGCUCCUCAGGUCCGCCCCCUGCAUCCCCCCCUGCAUCUCCCCCAUCCUCUCGGGAGCCUCCUCGGGUCCCCCCGCAUCCCCCCCAUCCCCUCGGGCGGCUCUUUGGGUCCCCCGUAUCCCCCCCCCGCAUCCCCUCGGGAGGCUCUUGGGGUCCCCGCGGGCCGCCCCCCAGCCGCGGCCGGGGAGGGGCGCUGUGCCCGGGGGCCCCCCAGCCUGACACCGGCGCGGCCCAGGCCACCUGCCGGCCGGCGGCCCCCCAGCCCCUGUGCCCGCCCACCUCGGGGCCCUGGGCCGUGCGGGGCGCUGCGGGGAGGGCAGGGGACAGUCCAGCCCGGAGGCGGAGAGCUGACUGCAGCACUUCCCGGCUGGAGUCGGUCCCAGCGCCCGGGAGACGCUGGGCGAGGCGGGGAGAGGGGGGCCUGGGGAAGCCGCAGGGGGAGGGGCUGGAAGGCGGGGGAGGAGCUGGUCCUGGGUUCGGAUUCCGCGGGGUGCGGCGGGCGCCGGGAAGGGGGAGCCUGUGCUGCUUGGAGCCCCCCUCCGCCCUGCCUGCCUCCGCCGGUUCUGGUCCCCAGCCAGGGCUCGGGAGCCUCGGAGACCAGCUGUCCUAG